GGCUGAAUGGUUUAGUGGUAUAAUUCUUGCUUUGGGUCCUUGUAUCUUGAAUGUAAGAGGUCCUGGGUUCAAUUCCCAGUUCAGCCC
rnacentral:tRNA from 2 species